GAUGAACGCUGGCGGCGUGCCUAAUACAUGCAAGUCGAGCGGUAAGGCUCCUUCGGGAGUACACGAGCGGCGGACGGCUGAGUAACACGUAGGAACGUACCCCCAAACUGAGGGAUAAGCACCGGAAACGGUGUCUAAUACCGCAUAAUCUCUUCGGAGCAAAGCUACGGCGGUUUGGGAACGGCCUGCGCAUGAUUAGCUUGUUGGUGAGGUAAAAGCUCACCAAGGCGAUGAUCAUUAGCUGGUCUGAGAGGAUGACCAGCCAGACUGGGACUGAGAACGGCCCAG
rnacentral:rRNA from 1 species